rnacentral:rRNA from 1 species
CCUACGGGUGGCAGCAGUGAGGAAUAUUGGUCAAUGGACGCAAGUCUGAACCAGCCAUGCCGCGUGCAGGAAGACGGCUCUAUGAGUUGUAAACUGCUUUUGUACGAGGGUAAACGCAGACACGCGUAUCUGUCUGAAAGUAUCGUACGAAUAAGGAUCGGCUAACUCCGUGCCAGCAGCCGCGGUAAUACGGAGGAUUCAAGCGUUAUCCGGAUUUAUUGGGUUUAAAGGGUGCGUAGGCGGUCGGAUAAGUUAGAGGUGAAAUCCCGAGGCUCAACUUCGGAAUUGCCUUUGAUACUGUUCGGCGAGAGAGUAGUUGCGGUAGGCGGAAUGUAUGGUGUAGCGGUGAAAUGCUUAGAGAUCAUACAGAACACCGAUUGCGAAGGCAGCUUACCAAGCUACUUCUGACGUUGAGGCACGAAAGCGUGGGGAGCAAACAGGAUUAGAUACCCUAGUAGUC